CACGUAGGCGGACUGGAAAGUUGGAGGUGAAAUCCCAGGGCUCAACCUUGGAACUGCCUUCAAAACUAUCAGUCUGGAGUUCGAGAGAGGUGAGUGGAAUUCCGAGUGUAGAGGUGAAAUUCGUAGAUAUUCGGAGGAACACCAGUGGCGAAGGCGGCCCACUGGCUCGAUACUGACGCUGAGGCGCGAAAGCUAGGGGAGCGAACA
rnacentral:rRNA from 1 species